UUGAAAAAUCGACACACCCAAAAGCUAGUGUUUGGGAAGACAACAACCCGGAGCUGUUCUGUUUCUGACUCAAGAUAUUGGAGCAAGCUGUGGCUCUCCAUGGAGAUGAGGAAGCCUGCAGCCCCUGAAGGUCAUGGGUGCUGUCGGAGACACAAGGAAAGCCAUCAGCCCAGGGAGAUGCUGAGGGUUGGGGCAUCUCCAUGGAUGAGCUCCAUGUACUGCUGGACUCAUCCAACCUUUCGUGGACAUCACCUUGUAGUGAAAAUCCCUUUUGUUAUUGAAGAAAGCCUGAGUUGGGUGAUUUAUUACUCAUAAAGUAUUUUAAUACAUUGAUGCUAAUAUUCUCAUGAGACAAUUAUACUAUACUCUUAAGAUAGCAUUAAAAGUAGUUUAAAGACCCCACCCUUCUCCAAAUAAAACCAACACUUGUGAAA